GAUGAACGCUAGCGGGAGGCUUAACACAUGCAAGUCGAGGGGUAACAGCAGAGCUUGCUCUGGCUGACGACCGGCGAACGGGUGCGUAACGCGUACACAACUUACCUUUUACAGAGGGAUAGCCCUGGGAAACUGGGAUUAAUACCUCAUAGUAUUCAGUGAUGGCAUCAGAUCUGAAUUAAAACUCCGGUGGUAAAAGAUGGGUGUGCGUCCUAUUAGUUAGUAGGUGAGGUAACGGCUCACCUAGACCGCGAUAGGUAGCGGGCGUGAGAGCGCGAUCCGCCACACGGGCACUGAGACACGGGCCCGACUCCUACGGGAGGCAGCAGUGAGGAAUAUUGGACAAUGGAGGAAACUCUGAUCCAGCCAUCCCGCGUGUAGGAUGACGGUCCUAUGGAUUGUAAACUACUUUUAUUUAGGAAGAAACCUUGGGAUUUAUCCCAAGCUGACGGUACUAAAUGAAUAAGCACCGGCUAACUCCG
rnacentral:rRNA from 1 species